UAAUUUUAUUGAACUAAAUUUUCUAGAUUUUUACAAAAAUAUUCCUUAAUUGAUUCAUUAUUUCAUGGUUCAGAGAUAGGGCUGGGCACAUUCCAACUCUUUCAAGCCGUUUCUUUAACAGUCAGUUCCAACCGUUAAAAGAAAGAAUAUCAUGUAAUCGUUUUAAGGGAAAAUGAAACGUUUGUUUCGUCAACGGUAUUUUCCGUUUUUUAAAAGUUACUGUUAGUUAACAAUCUCAAUUUUAUUAACGGUGUUAACGGAAGAUAUUCUGUCGGUUAUGGUUGUCUUAUUGCAAUUAGCGUCAUCAGCCUUCUAGAAGCUGUGUGAAGCACUGAAAAAGGUUGUCAAAUUGUUAAUGGUAUAAUCCAUCAACGCUUGUUUGAAGGAUUAACCAUGUGAACGGUUUGCCAAAACUCCAAAAUUUCCAUUAAAAAAUCAUAAAAUGUUUAUCAAAUUGGAAUUCUGCCCACCCUUCACUUCAGCCAUGAAGUAUAAGGUUUAAAAACAGAGAAACCUGAGAUUUUUUCAGAUUCUGAAAGUAGACUACAAGUCUACAGGGUGUCCCACGAAUCAUGACAGUUGGUGAAUAGUUUAAAAUGUCUUCUUCCAUAAUUUGUUUUAGACAUACUCUACUUCCAGAAUCUUAAAAAAACUCGGUGUCUCUGCUUUUGAAACCUACUUCAUAGCUAAGGUUUAUCCCAACAAGGAAAUAUCAUGAGACAAAACUACAAAAUAAAUUUUAAAUAAAAGGAGAGAGAUCUUAAGAUACAAGGACUACUGUACAGUGUACAUGCACCCCCGACCCGGAGUUCAAUGAUCUCCACGAAGAUUCAGAAGAUGCAGAAGAUUUUGAGAGUUCUGAAGAUGAGUUUUCGGAUGAAGGAAUAAUCAUGGACAUCUCCUCUUCCGAAGACGACGAUAUCAAUAACAAUAAUUAGGGAUGUGAUGUGAAAAAAUUAUGUUUGAUCAGAAAGAAGAUAAUUAGUCUGCCACCCUUAGUCAGAGAUCUAGAACUUUCGAUGCCUGCAAUUACCGGAAUUAGAUCUCUGCAGGUGUAAGCCUCCCCUUUUUUUUUACUCUUAUCGAUUUUUCCCCCUCCCCUUUUUUAUACCGUAGCUAGGCCUUUAUCAUGUCAGGCCUAGUGGUACACAAAUUGUCAUCCCCCUGCCUGAUUAUUAUACCUAGACCAACGUAGGCCUCCCACCCCCCUAUGUCUCUACCCUUAAUUGAUGUUCCCCCUUUUUCGAACCUUUUUGUUUCUACCAAUACAACCCUCCCCUCCCUUUUUUUAUUACGCAAAUACCCUUUUUCCCCCCUUUCAAAAAGUAUAUAAACCCCCUUCCCUCCCUUCAGGGCGUAGUGCGAUACCUUUCCCAGGGGGCCUUCUUUUUUUUGCUGCUCUAGGUAUUAUUUUGCGUAACCCUUAUUUUGAGUUAGAUAAUUUCCCCCUUUUUAAUUAAGCCUCACUCCUCUCCUCCUCUUUAUAGUAAAGUUGUUCAGUAUAAUCUAUUUUGUUUAAGUCUAUACGUAUAUAUUAGUUGUAAGAAUCGUGAAACUAGAGGUAUAUAUAUCUUUGAAACCAGAUACUUUGUGAUUUAUAUUCUUAUUCUUUUCCUUGCACUUAUCUUUAAAAUAAAUAACGUAAAGGAAACUAUUAUAUUAAAUAAGGAGUAAGAGAUUUGGACAGGAUCAUCGACCACUUAAUUUCGAGUAAAAGCAGCAUUUGGAAUUCCUUUUUUUCAGUUUGAAAGAUUUAAAUUUGAUCAAUUUAAAACAAUUACUGGAACUUUAUACGUCUGAUAGAUAUUUAGUUUGCCCAGAUAAUAAGUUUGAGUUUACUCAUAUAAUUGAUAGUUCUUCUAUAACUGUGUCCAAGUGACCUCAGAUAUUUCAAACUAUGUAUUUCGUUACAACUAGUAUCAUAAUUAGAAAUAUUACAGGUUGAAACCAUCAGG